ensembl:lncRNA
CUUAAGGGUCGACUCCCAGGCGACCCACGACAAACAAAAAACAAAGAAAGUCAAACCCAAAACGGGUGGGUGGAGGGGCGCCAGGAGGGGGAAAAAAAAUGGACUGCGGCAGAGCCGAGGUACGUCAGGCGGGCGUCCAGAAAACUACCCCAGGGCAUGGCAGGGAGCCUCAGGCGGACGGCCUGGGGGGCAAGCAGAGGCAGAGUGAAGGCGGAACCCUUCAGGAGGCCGGCGGCAAGGACGAUGAGGGCUCAGUCCCUCAGGGGACCUGCAGUGGCACAGAACCCCCUCAGAAGGCCGGCAGCGGUGAAGGCGGAACCCUUCAGGAGGUCGGCGAAGGCGAGGUAGAGGGCGGGUCCCCUUAAGAGGAAGGCCAGGUAGAGGGCGGGUCCCCUCAGGAGGCAGGCCAGGCAGAGGGCGGGUCCCCUCUGGUAGAAGGCCAGGUAGAGGGCGGGUCCCCUCUGGUAGAAGGCCAGGCAGAGGGCGGGUCCCCUCUGGUAGAAGGCCAGGUAGGAACGGAGGGCGUGCCUCCUGGACGGUCUGGAGGGCGGACCCCCUCCGGCAGGAGCAGAGGCCAGUCCCCCUCUGGAAGGAGCAGGGGGCGGGCCCCCUCAG